rnacentral:rRNA from 1 species
UACGGGGGGGGUAAGCGUUGUUCGGAAUUACUGGGCGUAAAGGGCUCGUAGGCGGCCAACUAAGUCAUACGUGAAAUCCCUCAGCUUAACUGGGGAACUGCGUGUGAUACUGGAUGGCUUGGAUUUGGGAGAGGGAUGCGGAAUUCCAGGUGUAGCGGUGAAAUGCGUAGAUAUCUGGAGGAACACCGGUGGCGAAGGCGGAUCUCUGGGCCAUUACUGACGCUGAGGAGCGAAAGCGUGGGGAGCGAACAGG